GUUCCUCAGCCUGACUCCAGGGGCUUUAUUUUGUCUAUGAAGUGCCCUGGUAUUGCCUGAGGACAGACAGGAAAGCCCAUGUCCUUCCCCACUAAGACGCUAUUUUCUUUUAGGGCGUACGCAUUAAGCUGACAGU